UACGUAGGGUGCGAGCGUUGUCCGGAAUUAUUGGGCGUAAAGAGCUUGUAGGCGGUUUGUCGCGUCUGCCGUGAAAAUCCGGGGCUCAACCCCGGACUUGCGGUGGGUACGGGCAGACUAGAGUGUGGUAGGGGAGACUGGAAUUCCUGGUGUAGCGGUGAAAUGCGCAGAUAUCAGGAAGAACACCCGUGGCUAAGGCGGCUCUCUAGUACGGUACUGACGCUGAGACGCGAAAGCGUGGGGAGCGAACAGG
rnacentral:rRNA from 1 species